GGAAACAGGAGAACCGACUACGCUCUAACUUAACUAAGAUAGAUAGGUGUAAAUAGGAAAGAUGGUAGAAUUGAAUAAGAACAAUAUUAAUGGUAAGAUAACAAUGGGUGAUAAUAUGGGAAUAGAGAGUAGAGCAAUCUAGUAUAUGGGCGAUGGUAGCAAAAUAGAGAGGAUAACUAUGGUUUCUCUACUUCAAAGGGGUAUGUCUAUGUCUGGGACGAACCACGUGAUAAGAAUACACCACAAAGGAUGCUUAUCCAUAGGCCGAUAAACCCUACCCGUCCUGCUAACAGGAGGUGGACUACAGGGGACCAACGUAACUGCACCUAUGCGGCCUACCACACGAUCCAGCUAGAUAGGGGAUAUUCACAAGUAAUCUAGGUCUAAGCACCACGCUUACACCUAUACUACAACUCUAACCUAUAGGGUCCUAGAGAUUAGAAGUACUCAAAAGAGUUGUGAACCAGAACAUACAUGAUUAGUAAUUGCAUAAUGAAUUAGAAGU
rnacentral:lncRNA from 1 species